UAGCUCGGUAGCUCAACUGGUAGAGCAGUGGUCUCCAAAGCCACCGGUUGCAGGUUCGACUCCUGUCCGGGUUGCGGU
rnacentral:tRNA from 1 species